rnacentral:sRNA from 1 species
AUACAAUGAUUGAACAAGUAAUUUUGGGUCCGUAAUAUAGCCCAAAUCACAAAUAUGACCGAAAAAGUACUUAAAGGUCAAAAUUUGGGAUCGACAAAAAGUCAAUGAAAUUGUUCCAUUGUCCUGCUUCUUUCGUCGGAGGGCUCUCUUUACGCUUUCCGAAAAGGUAUCACAUGCCAAGUUUGGCCUCACGGUAUAUAAGUUAUAGAGUCAUAAAGUUUUAACCAAAAAAAACAAAUUAAAAAAAAAGAAGGAUGCAACACGAGGACUUCCCGGGAGGUCACCCAUCCUAGUACUACUCUCGCCCAAGCACGCUUAACUAAAGGUCAAAAUUUGGAGUCGACAAAAAAUCAAUGGAUAAGUUCCAUUGUCCUGCUUCUUUCAUCGGAAGGCUCUCUUUGGGCUUUCCGAAAAGGUAUCACAUGCCAAGUUUGGCUUGACGGUAUAAAAGUUAUAUAGUCAUAAAGUUUUAACAAAAAAAAAACAAAUUAAAAAAAAAGAGGGAUGCAACACGAGGACUUCUCGGGAGGUCACCCAUCCUAGUACUACUCUCGCCCAAGCACGCUUAACUAAAGGUCAAAAUUUGGAGUCGACAAAAACUCAAUACAUAUGUUCCAUUGUCCUGCUUCUUUCAUCUGAGGGCUCUCUUUGGCUUUCCGAAAAGGUAUCACAUGCCAAGUUUGGCCUCACUAUAUAAAAGUUAUAGAGUCAUAAAGUUUUAACCAAUGAAACAAAUUAAAAAAAACAGAGAGAUGCAACACGAGGACUUCCCGGGAGGUCACCCAUCCUAGUACUACUCUCGCCCAAGCACGCUUAACUGCGGAGUUCUGAUGGGAUCCAGUGUAUUAGUGUUAGUAUGAUCGCAUCCGUUAGUAUAUGGAAUGCAAUCGUAUAUAUUCUUUUUUGAAGACCUGAU